AUUGAACGCUGGCGGCAGGCCUAACACAUGCAAGUCGAGCGAGCGGCGGACGGGUGAGUAAUGUAUGGGGGCUGCGCGAUAGAGGGGGAUACCUACUGGAAACGGUAGCUACUACCGCAUACGAUCCGAUAACCCAUAUGGGAUUAGCUAGUAGGUGAGGUAAUGGCUCACCUAGGCGACGAUCCCUAACUGGUCUGAGAGGUUGCCCAGCCACACUGGAACUGAGAAACGGCCCAGACUCCUACGGAGGCAGCAGUGGGGAAUAUUGCACAAUGGGCGCAAGCCUGAUGCAGCCAUGCCGCGUGUGUGAAGAAGGCCUUCGGGUUGUAAAGCACUUUCAGCGGGGAAGCGGUACUCGAAGAAGAAGCACCGGCUAACUCCGUGCCAGCAGCCGCGGUAAUAC
rnacentral:rRNA from 1 species